ensembl:lncRNA
GUGACAAUAGAAGCCAUAACCUGUUUAUUUUAGCCCCUAUUUAGAUUGUGACUGAAGUGGGAGCUGCCGCAAGCCAAGGCUCCCGUUUCUCACAGAGCCUUGGUGGUGGCAUCAGUCCAGGGUGUGGCUGGUGCUGGUGGAAGUGCUGGUGCUUCAGAGUUGAUGUUAGAGGAGAAGGACACGUAGAGCAUCACGUAAACCCCUCGUUGUGUGUGCAGACAUAAUGAGGGAUGUUGUAGAUUAACCAGGGUGACGUAUCCUCAUAGGAAGCAAUGGGCCUGGCACUCUUUCCUCUGGACAGAUAAAGGAGCAGAUAAAGACAUUGUGCCAGACCUCUGUUAGAGGAAGGGCUUUCAGGCUGGCAAAGUCAUUGAAAUAUAUCAGAUUGAAACACUUGUCCUCUUUCCUAUUCCACAGCAACUCAGGACAGCCUUACUUUGUUUGAGUCCCAUUACUGGAAUUUCUGGGGAGAGUUCAUGCACAUGUUGCUCACACCAUUUUCCUGUUUGUGCCUAGAGAGAGGGGAUUGAAAGUCAAGAAUACUGUGCCUGAGUUUCUUAGUGUAAGGCAAUAUUUAUUUCAAUGCAAUGAUAAGUAAAGAAGCCGAGGAUUUUCUAAUUCUAUUUUUUUUUCUAAGUUCAACCUGUUUGGGGUUUUUUUUGUUAAUUCCAUUUCAUUAGGUUUACUUUAGAAAAAAAAAAAAAAAAGGAAACAAAUUUGAACUCAGAAGGAAAGCACAGAUUUCACACAUGCCCCCUAUUUUUUCAUUCUAAUUUUUGACAUUUUGACUCUUGUCCAGCACCUCUAAACAUGGACCAGCUUUCCCAGGUGUUUCCUUGCCUGCAGAGGCUGAGGGCUGCUGCCCUUGCUCAUCACAAACAGCAAUUGUGACAUUGCACACCACUCAGCUCUUGUUGAGACCAGACUCACCACAUGCCCCAGCAAAAGCAGCAAGAGGAAAGUUAUAACAAGGGGACAAAAGGUGUAUUCAGCAGCAGUAAAGAAUGUGCAGGAAUAAGACAGUCAUGCAAAUCUUGCCGUGAAAAUGCUGCCUGCUCUCGGGGUAGUUGCAGUGGGAAGAGCAGCUCUGGAAUACAGUGUGUUGCUCCAGAGGCAAAGCCAGUGAAGGGCAGCACUGAAGCCCAUGUGGUGUUGCUCCUCUCCUUCAGUCAUACACCUGGCAGCUGCAGGACACCUGGGAAUGCCAAUGACCAACUGUGCAUACAGGAGUCCUUGGUGUGCCUCAAGGGCUGGAUUUAUUGAAUAAAAGUUCAAACAUGAAUUUAUGAGAAGGACACAUUGUAUGUCCUCCACCUCCGCCUGUCCAGAGCCAUUUAUUUCAAAGCAAGAAGUUUUUUUUGCUCUGAAGUGGAAGUUUAAAAGGAAAUUAUCAGGUACUUUCUAAACCAGUUUUGCAUCUUUGUUGCUGCUUUA